UUAACUCAAAUUCGUUCGGAGUUGGAACGUUUGCCUACGUUUGCCGCUAGGAGCGUUGGUCCAAUUCCAUACGAAUUUGAGUUC
rnacentral:pre_miRNA from 1 species